GAUGAAGAACGCAGCGAAAUGCGAUACGUAAUGUGAAUUGCAGAUCUCUCAGUGAACCAUCGAAUUUUUGAACGCACAUUGCGCCCGCCAGUAUUCUGGCGGGCAUGCCUGUUCGAGCGUCAUUACAACCCUCAGGCCCCCGGGCCUGGCGUUGGGGAUCGGCGGAGCCCCCCGUGGGCACACGCCGUCCCCCAAAUACAGUGGCGGUCCCGCCGCAGCUUCCAUCGCGUAGUAGCUAACACCUCGCGACUGGAGAGCGGCGCGGCCACGCCGUAAAACACCCAACUCUUCUGAAGUUGACCUCGAAUCAGGUAGGAAUACCCGCUGAACUUAAGCAUAUCAAUAAGCGGAGGA
rnacentral:misc_RNA from 1 species